CAGUCGCCGCGGUAAUACGAGGGGGGCAAGCGUUGUUCGGAAUUAUUGGGCGUAAAGGGUGCGUAGGCGGUUUGGCAAGUUUGGUGUGAAAUCUUCGGGCUCAACUCGAAGUCUGCAUCGAAAACUGCCGGGCUUGAGUAUGGGAGAGGUGAGUGGAAUUUCCGGUGUAGCGGUGAAAUGCGUAGAUAUCGGAAGGAACACCUGUGGCGAAAGCGGCUCACUGGACCAUAACUGACGCUGAUGCACGAAAGCUAGGGGAGCAAACAGGAUUAGAUACCCGCGUAGUCCCUGUCUCUUAUAA
rnacentral:rRNA from 1 species